UGAGUGUGGAGAAGCAGUGUCGUCUCACAGUCAAUAUGGCCAGGAUGCACUUGUGUGGAUGGUUUUCAGAUCCCAAUCAUGGUACACGUGCUGCAACAACGUCAUGAUAUUGAAGUGGAAAGUUUGUGCAUGAUUACAACAGGAUAUGUAUUGGUUCUUCACUACAAAGAGAUAAUAUUUGUAGAUGCUCCCAAUAAUUUGAACAUGAUGUUGCCGCUAUAUCUGGGUGUUCAGAGGCAUGACUUAUCUGCAACCUAUACCCCAUCAUCUACUGUGACCUAAAGCCAAAUUUCAAGAAGAGGAAAUGGAGCAACUUGGUCUUCUCUGUUCUCUUGCUGCAUUCUCUGGGAAUCAUAAAUACUUGCAUAUCCGGCCGCAAGCCUUUGUAAGGUUAUGCUCUACUUUACUAUUUGAAUCAUGGUAAGGUGCAAGAAAUAUCUUUUCGGUGAUAAUGGAGGCCGAGUGAUUCUGCUUGGUGAGGUUGUCGUUCCUGAGAAGGUGAAACUGGUGAACCACAAGGCCAUUGUCAACAGCUUCAGUUACUACACUGCGCUUGAGCUGUACAGAAACGAAGUGUUCGACACGAGUACGCAUAAACAUUCGGCUUCAUCAUUUACAAGGUCAGUAUGAGGCUGUUUGGAUUUGAUCCCAGACCCUCUGUGCCAAAAACUCAGUUUCCAUGGACUAAUGUUGAGAUGGAAGUAUAAUCAGCUUUACAGACUGGCCUCAUGUUGAGAUAGAAGUUAACCACAAACAAUCUUUUAAUAUCCCAUUACGGCCAUCG